GAUGAACGCUAGCGGCAGGCCUAAUACAUGCAAGUCAAGGGGCCAGUAAUGGCACCGGCGGACGGGUGCGUAACGCGUACACAACGUACCUUUGGGGUGGGGGAUAGCAUCGGGAAACCGGUGGUAAUACCCCCAUGGUAUUGGGAGACUGGCAUCAGUUUCAAUUAAAGACUACGCCCAAAGAUCGGUGUGCGUCUGAUUAGCUAAGUUGGUAGGGUAACGGCCUACCAAGGCGACGAUCAGUAGGGGAUGUGAGAGCAUGAUCCCCCACACGGGUACUGAGACACGGACCCGACUCCUACGGGAGGCAGCAGUAAGGAAUAUUGGACAAUGGUCGGAAGACUGAUCCAGCCAUGCCGCGUGAAGGAUGAAGGCGCUCAGCGUUGUAAACUUCUUUGUACGGGACAAAAUGCGACCUGCGGGUUGUACUGAGGGUACCGUAAGAAUAAGGCAACCGGCUAACUCCGUG
rnacentral:rRNA from 1 species